AAAACGUUUUCCCACCUAACCUAGAGUAAUUUGCACCCCCAGAUAUUUAAAUGCUCAUUGGAUUAAAUGACAGCAGUAUGAUCGAAAUAAGGAUUUUGAAUUAAAUAAGACCAAAUAUGGUAUCCCCACUUGCUCGGCGGCAUUACGCGCCAGUCGUGCCCCCUUGAUCAUCUCCCCACUCAAUUUCUUUGCCUGGCGUUUGCCGUAUAACGCGAAGCUUAAUUGAGCUCUCUACUACUCUCUAUCUUACCUUUACGAGGUAGUGGUACAUCACUCGCAUGAACGUCUGUUCCAUAAAAUAAAAACACUCGAGUACGAUUAUCAUUUUGCAUUGUGCGGUCGGCAGUUACAUAACAAUCUCCCAGAUUACACUUGCGUGUUUGAUUUACCAUCGUGAAAGGAGUCCACCAGAUCAUUAUAGAAAUAUCUUCAUCUGCCCUCAGCUUCUCAUCAUAUUCAAUUUCAUGUUUGUAAUUUUCGUCGUGACGUGUUUGAUCUUCUCCGUAAUUAAAAUGUAUUGGUUCAUCAUUUUCUAGAAUAAA
rnacentral:lncRNA from 1 species